rnacentral:rRNA from 2 species
GCGACCCCAGGUCAGGCGGGACUACCCGCUGAGUUUAAGCAUAUA